rnacentral:snRNA from 1 species
UUUCUUUUUGGGGAGUGGAGAUACCAUGAUCACGAAGGUGGUUCACCCAAAGCGGACAUCCGAUCAGGCCGCUCUGACCUUUGUGAAUUCCCCAAAAUGUGGGAAUCUCCACUGCAUAAUUUGUGGUUGUCGUGUCCUGGCAUUC